AGGAGCAACAAUAGAAGCUUUCCUGGGGCCUUCAGUCUCAGUGUUUGUCAUUAUUAUGGCCUGUGGACUAUUUCCAUUCUCUGGAUAAAGAAACCAGAACACAGAGAAUUGAAGUGGAUCUUUCAAUUCCACAUAAUUAGCUCAUUGAGAAUGUGAUGCCAACUCAGCUCAUUCCACUUUAUUAAUGUUGCAGUGCAAUACUGAAGAUAGGAAAUAAUUAGAUUUCUGCAUGGCUGUUGAUGUGGCCUCUCAAGAUAUUUUCAUGAGCAACACAGAAAAAUUUGGAUUGGUAAAUUGGAUUCUUAACCAUUUGGAAAACGUUACGGUCAGUUUGGGGUAUAGUGUCAUCUCAACAGCAUUAAGCCUUCUGAUCCAUGAAACUGAGAUGUCAAAAGACUACAUAGUCAUAUUUAGAUCAAUUUUAUAAUCAACAAAUACAUACAAUGUAAAGGAAAAUAUAUUUGGACUGAAAGUAAAAAGAAAGAUUCUAAUAAGUAUAGCUGUCCUUGUGAGAUAGUGAGCAUUCAAUAACCAAUGGUGUUCAACCAACAGUGCAACUGAUCAGGUGUUACAGAAGGAAGUUGCCACCAUAAAUAAUUCUAUCCAACCAUUGUUCCUGCCCUUGGUUCACACUAUCAAGAUUUGAAGUCCUGGAAGAAAACACCCUGUCAGUCAAGAUUAAGUCAUAUACCUACCUCAUUGAAACACAAGGAGGAGGAGAAGACUGCCACAGUCCUCCCAGCUCCAUAGUUGAAGGCAUGAAGAAGGAAUCAUUCUCCUACCAAAAGACACAGAGUAAGGGAGAGGUAACUCUCCAAGGAGAAAUCGGGAUACUAUCAGAUUUUGAUGUUGGGCAGUCAGUCAAAGAAAGUCAAAUACUCUCUCCAUACAAGCAAUGCAGUUGUUGAUUUUAUUUAAAGCCUACUUUAAUUUUAAUCCUGGCAGCCUCAGAAAUCAAAAUUUCUCUUAUUGAGGCACUGUGCCACCCAUUUUUGUUUGUUUGUUUACAAUACAAAGAAAUAAAGCCAAGGUU